rnacentral:tRNA from 1 species
UAGCCCUGUAGUGAAUUAUCAUAUUGAAUUGCAAAUUCAAAGAAGCAGCUUCAAUUCUGCCGGGGCUUC